GGGAUAUGGCGAAAUCGGUAGACGCUACGGACUUAAUAA
rnacentral:tRNA from 1 species